rnacentral:rRNA from 1 species
GGAGGGUGCAAGCGUUAUUCGGAAUUAUUGGGCGUAAAGAGCGCGUAGGCGGCCAGUUAAGUCAGAUGUGAAAUCCCGGGGCUCAACCCCGGAAGUGCAUUUGAAACUAAUUGGCUUGAGUAUGGGAGAGGGAAGUGGAAUUCCUGGUGUAGAGGUGAAAUUCGUAGAUAUCAGGAGGAACACCGGUGGCGAAGGCGACUUCCUGGACCAAUACUGACGCUAAGGCGCGAAGGCGUGGGGAGCAAACAGGAUUAGAUACCCUGGUAGUCCACGCAGUAAACGGUGAUCACUAGGUGUAGCGGGUAUUGACCCCUGCUGUGCCGUAGCUAACGCAUUAAGUGCUCCGCCUGGGGAGUACGGCCGCAAGGCUA